AGCGAACGCUGGCGGUAGGCCUAACACAUGCAAGUCGAACGGCAGCACAGUAAGAGCUUGCUCUUACGGGUGGCGAGUGGCGGAUGGGUGAGGAAUACAUCGGAAUCUACUUUUUCGUGGGGGAUAACGUAGGGAAACUUACGCUAAUACCGCAUACGACCUACGGGUGAAAGCAGGGGAUCUUCGGACCUUGCGCGAUUGAAUGAGCCGAUGUCGGAUUAGCUAGUUGGCGGGGUAAAGGCCCACCAAGGCGACGAUCCGUAGCUGGUCUGAGAGGAUGAUCAGCCACACUGGAACUGAGACACGGUCCAGACUCCUACGGGAGGCAGCAGUGGGGAAUAUCGGACAAUGGGCGCAAGCCUGAUCCAGCCAUACCGCGUGGGUGAAGAAGGCCUUCGGGUUGUAAAGCCCUUUUGUUGGGAAAGAAAAGCAGCAGGUUAAUACCCCGCUGUUCUGACGGUACCCAAAGAAUAAGCACCGGCUAACUUCGUG
rnacentral:rRNA from 1 species